GGUGGAUGCCUUGGCACCAGGAGCCGAU
rnacentral:rRNA from 1 species